CCCCCCCCCCCCCCCCCCAGCUAUGGAGCCUAUGGUGAUGCCAGCUAUCGCGCCUGAUGAAAGUCGUCCUUAGGGUUGGUGGUUUGUCGGACCAGUUGUUGUGAUGGGAGUUGGUGGACCAGUUGUUGUUGUGGUUGAUGGUGGUGGUGGUUGGUGGACCAGUUGUUGUGUUGUUUGGUGAAAUAAUUCCAGUAAUUGUUGAUACUGUGACAUUUUGAGUUGACAGAGACCCAUCAAGUGUUCCAGAUGUGACAGUGGAUUGUGGAUUGAUAUCAGCUUCACACAAAACAAUCAGUAAAAUAUAAAAACAGAAGAAAGUGUUGAAGUAAAUCAAAGAAAAGCAUAUUUAACCCCAAACCUGGAUUCUUGGCUGGUGUCGAAAUGUUUGUAUUAAUAAUCAUCAAGAUCUUCUUUAUGGGUGUAAAGCUGAUCUUUUAUUUGUUUCAAACAAAAAAUGAAAUAAUCUAAAAGUUGUUUAAAAAACAAGUCAAUAAUUAUGACAAAUGGCAUUUUAUAUUAUCUACGCUAACUUUAAAUCUUUGAUAUAAAAACAACUAGAUCACAGGUUUACGAGUCCAACAUCAAUUUUCUUCUUUAAUUUAGCUAAAAUGUAACCUCAUUAACUCAAACAGUGCAGAUUUGGUCUCAUCAUUUUAUGUGAGGGACCUCUCAUACUUCCAUGUCAAACUGUCUGUUCCUUUUUUGUCUCGAUAAAAACCAAGACCAUCAUCUUGUUACAUUAAUGGUUAACUGUUAUUUAAUGUGUGUGUGAUGGUCAAAUAUUUAUUUUGUAAGUUUUUUUUUCUACCUGUGCAAAGCAGGAAGAGAGCUGCUGCAAUGUUUAUUUUCAUCGCUGCAGAGUAAUAAUUCCUCAAGUACAGUGAUAAUUCAGAUUUCUAGUUGGCGUCUUUGGAAAUGCUCCUCUAUGGAAACAUACAAGCAUAAAUAUAGAUGCAUUCAGAAUAUGGGACAAUGCAACAGUGAAUUUUAGGAUACGUUUUAACUAAAGGCUUAUCUUUUAAUUUACCUUUAACCUUUUAUUUGGUGAAGGCUUCUAUUAAAAGUUUGUUGAUCUUUAUUUUCAGUGAGUUAAUAAAAAAAGUUCCCAUGCGAUGCCACGUGAUGCAAGUGGAGACAAGUUCUUGCUUUAUGGAAAUGUUAUAUUAAGUUUUGUCCAUUGGUCCAUGUAAUAAACAGGAAGCUAGUUUCAGUUUAACAUAUUCGUUAGCAUAAAGAUAUUUUCUUCCUUUUACAGUAAUGGCCACCUUUUCCCAUUUGACGGAUCUGAAGUUGCCAGUGAAGAGAGUGAAUGUAAAUUUAUGCUGUACUGACCAUUUCAUUGUGGAUCAUUUCUGUGUUUUAAACCAAAUUCAUUCCUUUUUUAUCCUUUUACACAUUUACUUGGUAAUCUUCAACAGUCGUUUGUUGUCAAACCUACAAUUUUAGCUUUUGUAACACAUUCUGUCACUAAACUAAAAUCACAAGGAGCUGAAAAAGCACAUUUGUCACAUGUUCAAUGUUGAUACUGGGUCUAAAUGAGGCUACAUGGGCUUACGCGCUGUGUUGGUUGACGUGGUUCUGCAGUAUCGUUUGGACAUCCGGGGCAGUUCCACAGGAUUGGCAGACUGGGGUGGUGGUACCCCUAUUUAAAAAGGGGGACCGCAGAGUGUGCUCCAACUACAGGGGGAUCUCACUCCUGAGCCUCCCAGGUAAGGUCUAUUCAGGGAUUCUAGAGAGGAGGGUCCGUCGGAUUGUCGAACCUCGGAUUCAGGAGGAGCAAUGUGGUUUUCGUCCUGGCUGUGCAACACUGGACUAGCUCUAGAGCUCCUGGAGAGUUCGUAAGAGUUUGCUCAACCAUUCUACAUGUGUUUUGUGGAUUUGGAGAAACUGCAUCCCCGGGGAGCCCUGUGGGGGGCUACUCCAGGAGUUUGGGGUACCAGGCCCUCAUAUACAGGCUGUUAGGUCCCUGCAACUAGUAUCACUGCCGGCAGUAAGUUGAGCUAGUUCCCAGUGAAAGUUGGACUCCGCCAAGGCCGCCCUUUGUCACAGAUUCUGUUCAUAACCUUUAUGGACAGGAUUUCUAGGUGCAGCCAAAGUUUUGAGGCAUCCGCUUUGGUGGCCUGAGGAUCAGGUCUCUGCUUUUUGCAGAUGAUGUGGUCCUGUUGGCUUCAUCAGAACGUUAUCUCUGGCUCUCACUGGAGCAGUUCGCAGCCGAGUGUGAAGCAGCUGGGAUGAGAAUCAUCUCCUCCAAAUCUGAGACCAUGGUCUUGAGUAAGAAAAGGGUAGAACGCCUUCUCCAGGUCAGGGAUGAGGUCCUGCCCCAAGUGGAGGAGUUUAACUAUCUCUGGGUCUUGUUCACGAGUGAGGGAAAACUGGAGCGUGAGAUCGAUAGGUGGAUUGGUGCUGCAUCUGCAGUGAUGCGGGCGUUGUACCGGUCUGUCGUGGUGAAGAGAGAGCUGAGUCAGAAGGUGAAGCUCUCGAUUUACCGGUCGAUCUACGUUCCUACCCUCACCUAUGAUCAUGAGCUUUGGGUAGUGACCGAAAGAACGAGAUGGAUAUAAGCGGUCAAAAUGAGCUUUCGCCACAGGGUGUCUGGGCUCUCCCUUAGAGAUAGGGUGAGAAGCUUGGUAGACCUGCUACUCCUUCAUGUCGAAAGGAGUCAGUUGCUGUGGCUUGGGCAUCUGGUCAGGAUGCCUCUCCGGGGAGGUUUUCUGGGUACGUCCAACCGGGAGGAGAUCCAGGACACACUAGAGGGACUAUGUCUCUCAGCUGGCCAGGGAAUGACUUGGGAUUUCCCUGGAGGAGCUGGCCCAAGUAGAUGGGGAGAGGGAAGUCUGAGCCUCUCGGCUUAUGCCCCCGCGACCUGACUCAGGAUAAGCUUGUGAAAAUGGAUGGACUCUACCAGCAAGUUAAAUCACUCAAAGCAAGUUCCAGUUCAAGACUCGUGCUAAGUGAUGCAGCAGCAGCAUCACACGCUCAGUAGGGUUAGAGUUUGGAUGUUGGAAUAGUGAAAAUAAACAUGGAAAACUGUAAAGCAGGGCUAUUCAAUCCCGGGCCGGUAUCCAGCACACUUUAGUGGUUUCUCUAGUCCAACACACUUGAUUCAGUGGUUGAAUCACCUGUGCAGCAGCUCAUCAGGCUCUGCAGAAGCCUGUUGAUCACCUGCUGAUUGAAAUAGGUGUGUUGAAGCGGAGUUCAAACUAAAACGUGCUGAAUACUGGCCUUUAAGGCCUGGAGUUGAAUAGCCCUGCUGUAAAGGUUUAAAAACUGAAUUUCAUUCAUUCUUCUGAUGUAUACAGUGUAUUAUUUAACUGUUGUUGAUCGCUCUAAACACCAGAAAUUAGCCUCAAAUUUCGUCACCUGUUUGGCUUUCACUGAUUAGAUAGUCAAAUGACUUCCUCCUGGAUGUUAGAUCCAACUUCGUCUCUUAUCUUGCUCACACAACGUGUAAUACCAGUGGGGACAUCUGCCUUUGUGGAAAUGCUUUGUUUAGAUUUCCCCCUAGUCCAUUUAAUAAACAGGAAGCAAGUUUCAAUUUAACAUAUUUGUUAGCAUAAAUGUCUUUCCUUCCUUUUUACAAGAACAGUCUCUUAUUAUUUUAUGAGAAUUUUGCUGCUGCUGGUGUAUCGCUCCACCUGAUCAGCUGCCAGUGACAUGCCAGCUGCACACGCACAUUAGCUCACUGAUGCGGAUGAUUUUUGGCUGAAACAAACGGCAUGGACUAAGUAAGUGAUCUUGUAUGAAAAGAAAAGAAUUAAAAGCUUGUGGUAUUUCAUCACAUUAAAAACCAAACCAUUCAUUCGACAGACACCUGCAGUCUCUGAUGAUCAGAUCAAAGCCAAACUGAACCUGCCCAGAGAACCUUCAGCAGCAAAUUUCCUUAUCGCUCCUGAUAACCAACGUGACCUUCUGCUCACUGACUCAUCUACGGUCUGAAACUUACAGGACUAAAGUAAGUUCCAGCACUCCUUAGUGAACAUUGUCCACCGAAACUAUGGGGAUGAUGGAUUUAUAGACAUUUGUCACAUUUAGAAUAUGUUAUGCAAGGUUUUAUGUAGUUUAUUUGCAAUAGAAUUAAAGUCAAAGUCCUAUUAGCCAUCAUCACACUGGUGUAAUUACGUCCAGGAACUAUUUGGUGGUUUAACCCCCCAAUCCAACCCCUUAAAUCUGAGUGUCAGUCAGGAAGGCACUGAGUCCCAUUUUUAAAGACCGAGAUUUGAGCCUUGAUGACCCAGGACGGACGCUCUACCACUAGGCCACUGAGAAGGUUGUCAGCUUCAUCUUAAUACAUGUAAUCAUGAAAGUGUAACACAAACCUUAUCAGAGCAUUGAGUGCAGUUCAUUAUCACAUCGAGUCACUGACUUGUGUCAGACUUGACAGCAAUCCUCAUACUAAGCAAGCAUGUAGCGACAGUAGAGAGGAAAACUCCCUUUUAACAGGAAGAAACCUCCAACUGAACCUGGAUCAGUAUGAGCAGCCGUUCGCCACGACUCACUAGGGGGUUUGCGCAGAUGGAAAACACACACACACACACACACACAGUGUUGUUUCUAUGUCUGCAUACUUUGCGGUUCCUUUGUAGAUAUUCUAUAAUGACUAAUUAUUUCAUCAGAUGUUCCAGCAGUAGCACGUUCAACGCUAAGGAAAUACAGGAAGACUAUUUUCACGUCUAACCUGCAUGUGAAACUCAGAGUCACCAAUCUUGUUUCAAAAGUGGCAAAAAAUGGUUUCUCGGUGAAUUUGGUCUUUGAAUAAUGAGAAAUAACUUUUCCUUGUUGCUACUGGAAAAUAAAUGGCUGUGACGAACUGGGUUAUAUUUGCAAAUCAACUUUAUUUGAAAACAUGAAAACUUAACCAACUUUGGAUGUGGAAGAAUAAAACAUCAGCACUGUUGGUUGUGAAUGUGAAAAUGUUCAGAAGAUGCAGAGAAUAGUUUUCCUUUUCUAGACUAAAUCACUUCCUUCUCUGGUAGCACAAGGACUAAAAGGCUGGAAAGCCAGAAUGGAGCCACGCUGCAAAAUAAAUAAAAAUAACAAAAAGUGCAAAAGAA